rnacentral:rRNA from 1 species
AGAGUUUGAUCCUGGCUCAGGACGAACGCUGGCGGCGUGCCUAAUACAUGCAAGUAGAACGCUGAAGAAAGGAGCUUGCUCUUUUGGAUGAGUUGCGAACGGGUGAGUAACGCGUAGGUAACCUGCCUUGUAGCGGGGGAUAACUAUUGGAAACGAUAGCUAAUACCGCAUAACAGCUUUUGACACAUGUUAGAAGCUUGAAAGAUGCAAUUGCAUCACUACGAGAUGGACCUGCGUUGUAUUAGCUAGUAGGUAGGGUAACGGCCUACCUAGGCGACGAUACAUAGCCGACCUGAGAGGGUGAUCGGCCACACUGGGACUGAGACACGGCCCAGACUCCUACGGGAGGCAGCAGUAGGGAAUCUUCGGCAAUGGGGGCAACCCUGACCGAGCAACGCCGCGUGAGUGAAGAAGGUUUUCGGAUCGUAACGCUCUGUUGUAAGAGAAGAACGUGUGUGAGAGUGGAAAGUUCACACAGUGACGGUAACUUACCAGAAAGGGACGGCUAACUACGUGCCAGCAGCCGCGGUAAUACGUAGGUCCCGAGCGUUGUCCGGAUUUAUUGGGCGUAAAGCGAGCGCAGGCGGUUUAAUAAGUCUGAAGUUAAAGGCAGUGGCUUAACCAUUGUUCGCUUUGGAAACUGUUAAACUUGAGUGCAGAAGGGGAGAGUGGAAUUCCAUGUGUAGCGGUGAAAUGCGUAGAUAUAUGGAGGAACACCGGUGGCGAAAGCGGCUCUCUGGUCUGUAACUGACGCUGAGGCUCGAAAGCGUGGGGAGCAAACAGGAUUAGAUACCCUGGUAGUCCACGCCAUAAACGAUGAGUGCUAGGUGUUAGGCCCUUUCCGGGGCUUAGUGCCGCAGCUAACGCAUUAAGCACUCCGCCUGGGGAGUACGACCGCAAGGUUGAAACUCAAAGGAAUUGACGG